GGCGGCGUGCCUAACACAUGCAAGUCGUACGAGAAAGUUGGCUUCGGCCGAUGAGUAAAGUGGCGCACGGGUGAGUAAUGCGUGGAUAAUCUGCCCUUUAGUUGGGAAUAACGUACCGAAAGGUGCGCUAAUACCUGAUAAUACUGCAUAACUACUGUUGUGUAGUCAAAGAAGGCCUCUGUUUACAAGCUUUUGCUGAAGGAUGAGUCCGCGUACCAUUAGCUGGUUGGGUGGGGUAAUGGCCUACCAAGGCUACGAUGGUUAGCUGGUCUGAGAGGAUGAUCAGCCACACUGGAACUGAGACACGGUCCAGACUCCGUACGGGAGGCAGCAGUGAGGAAUAUUGCGCAAUGGGGGCAACCCUGACGCAGCAACGCCGCGUGAGUGAUGAAGGCUUUCGAGUCGUAAAGCUCUGUUAGGUGGAAAGAAACAUCCCGGCGCUAAUAUCGUCGGGACUUGACGGUACCACCAGAGGAAGCACCGGCUAACUCCGUG
rnacentral:rRNA from 1 species